rnacentral:tRNA from 1 species
AACACGGUGGUCUAGCGGUUAGAACGCUGGUCUUGUAAUCCUGGGGUCUCGGGUUCGAUUCCCGGCGGUGCCC